GGGUCAGUAGGUUGGUCGUGCCACCGGUACGUACUGGUCUCACUGAUUCCUCCUUCCUGAAGAACCGUAAUGCCAUUAAUUUGGUGUUGCGGGGAAACAGGACUGUUACUUUGAAAAAAUUAGAGUGUUUAAAGCAAGCUAACGCUUGAAUACAUUAGCAUGGAAUAAUGAAAUAGGACGAUCGAUCCUAUUUUGUUGGUUUCUAGGAUUGACGCA
rnacentral:rRNA from 1 species